rnacentral:rRNA from 1 species
AUUGAACGCUGGUGGCAGGCUUAACACAUGCAAGUCGAGCGGAGAGAAGUAGCUUGCUACUGAUCUUAGCGGCGGACGGGUGAGUAAUGCUUAGGAAUCUGCCUAUUAGUGGGGGACAACAUCUCGAAAGGGAUGCUAAUACCGCAUACGCCCUACGGGGGAAAGCAGGGGAUCUUCGGACCUUGUGCUAAUAGAUGAGCCUAAGUCGGAUUAGCUAGUUGGUGGGGUAAAGGCCUACCAAGGCGACGAUCUGUAGCGGGUCUGAGAGGAAGAUCCGCCACACUGGGACUGAGACACGGCCCAGACUCCUACGGGAGGCAGCAGUGGGGAAUAUUGGACAAUGGGCGCAAGCCUGAUCCAGCCAUGCCGCGUGUGUGAAGAAGGCCUUUUGGUUGUAAAGCACUUUAAGCGAGGAGGAGGCUACUCUAGUUAAUACCUAGGGAUAGUGGACGUUACUCGCAGAAUAAGCACCGGCUAACUCUGUGCCAGCCGCCGCCGUAAUAC